UACGUAGGGUGCGAGCGUUGUUCGGAAUCAUUGGGCGUAAAGCGCGUGUAGGCGGUUAGUUAAGUCAGAUGUGAAAUCCCUGGGCUCAACCGAGGAAGUGCAUUUGAAACUAAUUAGCUAGAGAGUGGUAGAGGGCGGUGGAAUUCCGUGUGUAGAGGUGAAAUUCGUAGAUAUACGGAGGAAUACCGGUGGCGAAGGCGGCCGCCUGGACCAUUUCUGACGCUGAGACGCGAAAGCGUGGGGAGCAAACAGG
rnacentral:rRNA from 1 species